rnacentral:lncRNA from 1 species
UGCGUACGAAUCGCUCCCGCAAAUCCGCAUCCUCGUCGUUAGGGUUUGGAGGGGCGGGGAAUCGGAGCUCGGCGGGGUCGCCGGAGGGGAGACACGAGAGGCGGCGUUGGCGGCGGCGGCGGCGGCGGCGGCGGCGGCGGCGGAGGUGGAGGAAGGGGAUCGGAGGAGGAGUGGGCAUGAGGAAGAUGCGGCGAUAAUUAGAGGAGAAUGAGGAGGUGGAGAUUGCCGUUGCCAGGGCCAUCGCCAUUGGAGGAGGGACGAA